rnacentral:misc_RNA from 1 species
GAUGAAGAACGCAGCGAAAUGCGAUAAGUAGUGUGAAUUGCAGAAUUCAGUGAAUCAUCGAAUCUUUGAACGCACAUUGCGCCCUUUGGUAUUCCGAGGGGCAUGCCUGUUCGAGCGUCAUUAUAACCCCUCAAGCUCAGCUUGGUAUUGGGGCCUGCCAUCCUGGCAGCCCUUAAAAUCAGUGGCGGUGCCAUCCGGCUCUAAGCGUAGUAACUCUUCUCGCUAUGGAGUCCUGGUGGAUGCUUGCCAUUAAUCUUUUAACUUCUAUGGUUGACCUCGGAUCAGGUAGGGAUACCCGCUGAACUUAAGCAUAUCAAUAAGCGGAGGA